AUUCCCGUUAUUUGAGGCCUCUCAGGGUCUUUUCCAAAAGAUUCCCAGGCUACCCUCCUUCCUCCUCAGUCUUCUGAAAACUAAAACUCGCAAAGCGGUGGCGUUCUGUGGAUUGGCUAGUACUAAAAUAUCCAUUGGGUGGCAGUAACACUAUCCUCUUUAUGACUUGCAGCAAACCGGAGAAUGCAUUCAAUCAAAUGAACCGAUCUUGUAGAAACACUGGAAUCAUUUAUGCAUUGCAGUUUCUCUUUCUUGUUUUCGCUCCUUCUUUCCUGGGAUAUUUUGAGUGGAUUGUGGCUAUUAAUCAAGAUUUCGUGCUAUUCGUGGUUUGCUUGUCGUUUUCGGUCAGGAUUAGCAUCAUUCAAGGCAAACGCAAAGCUGCUUUUUUUCCCCCACUCUUUUCUGAAAAAUCAUUUUUGGGGGCUGCUGAAGAGAGCUAGGACCCAGGAGACACCUUCCCAAACAGCAGGGGUUGUGUGCUUUCACACAGCAGUACUGUACAAGGAAAACCCCGUCGGAUCUGUUAUUGCGGGAUACUUGUGAAAUAUACAUAGGAUUCUUUCUUAUGGCUGCAUCCCGGAUCUGGAAAUUUUACUUGGAGACCAAGAGGAUCUGAAGGGCUACAUGCAUACAGAAAAUUUGCAAGCAAGACUCCGAUUCUUGUCAUAGAGCUCUCAGACUUCCUCACUUACCGGCCUUUUUUCCCGUUCUCCUUCUUCUUUUUUUUUUUUAAUUAAAUUUCUUCCCUCUUUUCCUGGUCUCUCCUUUCUCAGUGUCUCCUUUUCUAUCUGCCUCUUCUUUUUUCUCCUAGUCGUCUUUUUCCCCCCUGCUCUGCACCUGGAUUGUAUCUUCACCAAACAAUCGGGCACUUUGAGAACUAACUGGAGGCAGUCUUGUAGGGAAGAGCUGUAUGGAAUUAUCUGCUUUUAUGGUGAACUUGGCAUUUGUGAAUGGGUAUCUUGUUCACAAUAUUAAUUGCUAGCAAAAGCAAGAAAAAGAACACAGGAGUAAAACGUGGAUUUUUCUGAAUACGCAUUGUGAUGACCAGCAAUUACCUUACCGACUGAUAUCCAGAGGAGAAUAAUUUGGAAGACUGUUGUGGGGAAUCCCAGCAAAGCAAGAAGGGGUGAAGUGGCUGAGAAGGGCCAGUGCCAGUGGUAUGUGACUCCAGGAUCUACUGAAAGAAGUUUGCAGGUCCAUUUGUAGAUCUUGAUCUACACAUCAGAGACUCAAUAGCUAAUUUUACUCACUAAGAUAAAGGUUUUAUUUAUCUGAAUUUAACAGAUGCAAUAAAAUUAUUUAAAUUAAUCUUUA